CCUACGGGAGGCAGCAGUGGGGCAUAUUGCACAAUGGGGGAAACCCUGAUGCAGCGACGCCGCGUGAGUGAAGAAGUAUCUCGGUACGGAAAGCUCUAUCAGCAGGGAAGAAAAUGACGGUACAUGACUAAGAAGCACCGGCUAACUACGUGCCAGCAGCCGCAGGAAUACGUAGGGGGCAAGCGUUAUCCGGAUUUACUGGAUGUAAAGGGAGCGUAGACGGGGGCACCAAGCUGGAGUGAAAUCGCUGGUAUUAACCCCGGAACUGCUUUGGAAACAGUGCGGCUUGAGUGCAGGAGGGGUAAGCGGAAUUCCUCGUGUAGCGGUUAAGUGCGUAGAUAUUAGGAGGAACACCGGUGGCGAAGGCGGCUUACUGGACUGUAACUGACGUUGAGGCUCGCAAGCGUGGGGAGCAAACAGGAUUAGAUACCCCGGUAGUC
rnacentral:rRNA from 1 species